UUUUAGGUUCAAAUUUAACGCCUUGCGGCUUCUGAGAUGACAGUAAAGACACGAGUUUGAUACCUUCGGCGGGCGCGAGGAGCGUCUCCAGGCUACGGCCCCGCCCUGGGGCCGCCCACCGAAGCAACGAUAGGUAAGAUUCACAGUGGGUUUUCAGGAGUUUUCACUCUCUGUAAUGAUCCCUCCGCUGGUUCACCAACGGAGA
rnacentral:misc_RNA from 1 species